rnacentral:lncRNA from 1 species
CUUUCUAUUCCAUGCUUUCAUUCUUUGACAUGACUCAAUCAUGACAGCUAAUAUUCUUACCAAGCAUUUUCACUUUAUUAUUUAGUGUCAUCCGUGAAUUUCUUUCUUCCUGCUGACUUAAUUACCUCCCCCCAGACUGCAGCUUCUGCCAUUGCCUCUUUGGGUUAAAUCUGCUCGUUUUCUUAUAUUAUCUAUGUUGCCAAUGAGGGUUCAUGGCAAGGUUGUUUUCAAAGCUUCUCACCGCAGGCUUUUAAAUCUAUCAUUCAUCCUGCAAAACCUCUUCUUUGACAUGCCCUUGACUUAACAGUUUUACUCUUAAAAUUAUGUGCCCCUGACUUUUACAAAGUUCCAAGCCCCUCCCAAACUUGGCAUUGUCUCACAUGCUCAACCCAAAUCGCUGCCAAUAUCUGAGUCAUUGGUGGACAGAAACCUUACCCCGGCCUCACAGGUUGUUAAUCCUCCCACCUCGGUGACCAUCCUUUACUUCUCUUCCUACUUUUAUAACCUGGAGUGAGGUUUCAUUUCUUCAGUUAUUUCUACCAUCCUCUUGAGAGCAUAUUUCUAAGUUCCGUUCUUUCACUGCAUGUACAGAUGCAUCAAAUGCAUGAAGGUAUGCAAAGUUCCACAUUCUCUUCUCAUUAUAACUGGAGUUAGAGCGAUUCUAAACACUGACAGGGGCCACGUGGAGACCUACUUGACUUUGGUAAGAAUUUACCGUGGGGAUCGGAGAGGUAACCACUUCCUUUGCACCCAAACAGUGACUCUUUCUUGACGAGAAGGUGAAGGGCGUGAAUCUGUGUCUUCCACAGUCUCUGAGGCGGAAGCAAAGAAACACAGCACAGCUGGGAGGAGGGGCUGACAGCGGACCUACGUUCUGCGGAUUCCCUAGCAAUGGUCAGAGCAAAAAGGUGGGCUAAGAGCAUUUGACAGAAUAAUAAGACGGUGCUAAUUCAACAGGCAUCUUUAUUUUCAUUGUCUGGUGUGGACAUUUACUACUUUAUUGCCAAGCAUUCCUUCCUUCUCUUGCUCAUGACAGCGUUCUAAUUUUUUUUUUUUUUUAAAUCAAGAGCAGCCACCUCCCUGGCUCCUAGUCCUUGUGGUUGGAAGGAGGCCCUCACUCUCAGUUUGCAAGGAAGUCCUAGUGUAAGUCAUUUGUAAAUCCCGACCUCCCAGCCAAAGGAUUAGUCCCAGGGAUGUGCAACUAAUCCCAUGGAGGCCGCUGGGAUCCAGACCCUGGCCUUUCCAUUCACUCCUACAAAACUGCAUCUCUUCCUUUUUUAAUGGACUUUGGGAAGAUGUCAUCCUGAGUCUCCAGAAACCUGCUAUGUUGAUGUUACUUUCUCGGGGUGGGGAGGGGGGCAUGCACAGACGUGACCGGAGCUGAGAUGGAGAAAUGCCAGCUUCACAUGACUCCAUGAACACCUUUUCCGUUAUGCAAGUUUGAAUUGGUUUAUUGUCACUUAAAAUCAAAUCCCCUUGAGUAAUAAUUACACCCGGUUUCCAGACAAGAAGAUUCAGAUGCUGAGAGGUAAAGUACUCUGUGUCAACUCAGAUAGGCUAGAGAAGAGCGUGAGACGUUUAUGGCACAUGCACUCAAAUUUAGAUAUCCCGGUUGCAUACCACCCUAUUACAUACCUCUUGCACUUACCUAAUCAGUGGCUUAAUUUGAAUAACUUUUAAAAAAAUUAUAGCUGACUUAUAAUGUUAUGCCAAUUUCUGCUGCACAGCAAAGUGACUCAGUUAUACAUAUGUAUACAUUCUUUUUUUUUCUGUAUCAUUUUCCUUCCUGGUCUAUCUCAGGAGACUGGAUAUAGUUCUCUGGGUUAUACAAGAGGAACUUGUUGCUUAUCCUUGUUGAAUAGUUAUGUAAAUAGCUUGUCAUCUUUCAGUUUUGCCAAGUCCCUCUCAAUUUAAUCAUUCUGGCAUUUCCAUACCAGAGUUUUCUUUCUAAAACAUCCAUAAGAUCAUGCUUUUCCUAUUUAAAAAUCUACUAUCAUUCUCUAUAGCCUCAAGGAUAAAUCCCUAGUUUAGAGGCUGACAUGUAAACUCCAUUAUUCAAUCACAGCAAACAUGCCCUGCCCUAUGGUUUACCCAUUUCUUCUUUUUUGGUCUCUUGAGCCUGUGUUUUUAUUUUCUAAUUUUUAUUGUAGCAUAGUUGAUUUACAAUGUUCCGUCAGUUUCAGGUGUACAGCAAAUCCUAUCACCUUGUCUAAACUCACACCUCUCAGGAAUGCAGUGUAAUCUUCAUACACUGUGUGUUUUAAAACAUACUUAUCAUGUAGUCAUCAAGUACGUUUUGCCUAUAUUUGAAUGUGGAAGAUCUAGGAACUUCCUAAGAUGAAUUCAGCUUUUCUAACUUCAACAAACGUCUGAACAACACGUUAACAGUGAUAUAUUGAUAAACAUAAUGAAAUUCAAACAGGUUGUUUCAGAAUGAUCACUGUAAAAUGAAAAAGCACGUUUCACAGAUUCCAUGAAUUCAUUUCCCCCACCUCUCAUCCCUUCAAAACAAGGCAAAUAUACUCAUUAUUUCUAUUGAAACCAGUUUUUUGGCAGCAGUUUCUUUAGAAAUGUUAGGGCUACAUUUUGGCAUCCAGUUAUGCACAUGUACACUUAUGAUUCAAAAGGGAUUUGAAUCUUAUUACUUGAUGGAUUUAGGUAUGGGCAUCAAAUCGGCAGUGAAAUGCAAGGCAAAAAUAUCAUUUUGUAAACAGUUUGCGUGCAUAGUGUUUAUUCCCAUUCUUAUAAAACAACUGAAACUUCUUGAGAUAAUUGCCACAUCCUACAAUGGCUUUAGCUCUAAAAUGAAUUCUGUUUCAUCUAUCAUCCAGUGAAGCUGCUGGCUUAUCUCUAUGUAUCAGACUGAUAUCAGAUUAGCAAGUUAUAUCUAUUGCUGGUAUUUGUUUAGAAGUCAUUCUAUUCUGUUUCCCUUUAGAGAGCACUUGCUGAAGUAAAACUGAAGGAAAAAAUAAUAAAGCACUAGGCUCCUUAACAUUUAUGAAUCAACAUCCCCAGUGCUCCUCUCAUGCCUUUAAAACUGGUGGGUAAAUUAAACAAAAACAGCAUGGCACGAGAUCACAGGAUCUCAAUUCCUCUGGGAUUCCACUUAAUGCAAAUUCCACUUUUGGAGCUGAAAGGAAAUUAGAGAAGUUUAGUGUGGAUAGAAUGUUUCAACUCAGGAAUUUAAAAGAAACCAGAUAAACUCUUGAGCAUCUGCUUGAUGUAAUCACAUUGGGGAAUACAACGUCUUGAAAUGAAGCUCCAAAAAAAUAAAUAAUAAAAUAGCUAUUUUCCCCAAAGCCUAGCACCCAGUGUAAGUUAAUGUUAUUUUUUAAUGACUUCCACUGGUGAAGUGAUUUUUCAAAGACUGUUGAAUCCAAACCAAUUCUUUGCCACAUGAAAACUUUAGAUAUUGCACGGAUGCAUAAAUUAACAGAAACUUCA